GAGGAACACAGCAGGUCAGACAGCAUCAGAGGAGCAAGAAAGCUGACGUUCCAGGCCGGGACCGUUCUUCAGAAAGCCUUCCCUGCUCCUGUGAUGCUGCCUGAUCUGCUGUGUUCCUCCAGCUCCACACUGUGUUCCCUCGAGCUAAAAAAAUGUGAUUUCUUGCUGCUUCAUGUGGAAAACUGCAGUUUUGUGUACUGCCUCGUCUGACUGCUGCGGAGAGAGGGAGGGAGAGAGAGAGGGAGAGGCGGCUCCGGUUUAGAUGUUGUCUACUUGUUUCUCCAGAGCAUCCUCCAACUCCAUAAACGAUGACUGCUUUGUUUCGUAUCUGCGGAAGAUCUGUUUAAGCUGUGGGAGCUGGGGACAAACUGAACGAACUGUGAUUUCGGAAGAGAGGGGAAAUUGAGUGACCGAACUGGAGGUAUUUCAUGGUGAGUCCGGAAACCAUGAAUCUUCUCCACUGCGUAGAGCUCCAGAAGUGAGAAAUAUCGUGUUCACUUUGUGUGUGUCUGUGUGUGAGAGAGAGUGCGAGAGUUAGACACUCGCACCGACACAGGGACUUGCGCCCAGUGGGAGAGAGGGAUUGGGAAAGUUCAUCGAGAGAUGUGAAAUGAAAUUCCCCAUAUGAUGGAUUUAAAGACACAACCGGCUUUGGCAAGUCAUCUGAGGGAUACAAUUAAAGCAUUUUAUCCACUGAAUAUCUUCAAUCAAAAUGCAUGAACCUAUUACGAUAAGCUGACUUCACGUACUUUACUGCACAAAGAUCACAUGCUGCUGUAAAUGAUCAUGCUUGACAGCAUUAUAUUCUUAAAAUGAAUCUCACUGGUUGAAAUUAUAUCAAAGGCGCAUAGAGUCAAACAGCAUGGAAACAGGCCCUUUGGUGCAACCAGUCCAUGCCACACAUAAUCCCAAACUACACUGGUGCCAUCGGCCUGCUCCUGGCCCAUUUCCCUCCAAACAUUUCCUACUCAUGCACUUAUCCAAAUGUCUUUUAAACACUGUAAUUGUACCCACUUCCACUGCUCCCUCUGGAAGUUCAUUCCACACGCAAACCAUGGGGAUACUUGCCUUCAGCGGCCAAGGCACAGAUUGAAUAAAGAGGUGAUGCUGGAAAUAUAUAAAACAUCAGAUAGGUCACACAGCACGUGUACUGUCUACAGUCCUGGAAAGCACACACUAGGAGGGAUGUGAUAGCACUGGGAGAGGAUGCAGAGGGAGAUUUACCAGGAUAUUGCCUUGGUGGCUGGUGAGUUUUAGUAAUGGAGAGAAAUUGGACCGACUGGGUUUGUUUCCUAUUGAGCAGACGAAAGCGAAAGAGGGGACAUGAAUUGAAUUGCACCGGAAUUACUUUAUUGUCACAUGCACUCAAAUGAGAACAGUGAAAAGUUUAUAAUUUGCCCUCUUAAGUAUAUGGCGCUUGGGUACACAUCCCUCAGUAUAAGUUCAAAGGAAAAAAAAAGCUGGAAAAAUAAAAGAAAUAUAAAGUCCAGCAUUCCAUAUUUUAGGAAUCAAUUAGAAAUGAGAGAAAUAAAAAAGUUCAGAGCAAUGUUCUAUCCAACCUAGUCAACGAUGGCACCAAAACUCCAUUCCACAAAGGAGUAAACUCCAGACCACAUCAGGCUUCACGUUGAGGCCCUUGAAACCAGGAGACUGCUCUGGAAUCACCUCAAGGCCAGAAGCCCACACUGAGGACAAGGGACUAUCACACGAGGCCAAAAGUCCAACCUGCCAGGCCAGGAGACUGCCACACUGGGUCCGCACUGAGGCCAGAAGAUCACAACAAAGAAACAAGCAAGAGAAAAAGCAGCACAAAAGGGAGAAUAAAAAGGAGAACAGAAAAAGAAACAGACAGAAAGGACAAGCUCCAGCUGUUGCAUCCUACUCCAACAUCACCCUGGUGCUUGAUUGCAUUGUAUUAAAUGAGGAGGGGGCAUUGAUAGUACAGACAGGUUGAAGCUUUUCCCCUUUAACUGAGGGAUCAAUGACGGGGGGCAAGGGGCAUAGAUUGAAGGGAAGGGCCAGGAUAUUGGGAGGGGAUGUGAGGAAGAACAUUUUCACACAGAGGUUGCUGGGGAAUCUGGAACUGCCUGCAAGUGUGGGAGAGGCAGAAACCCUCAUCACAUUGAAGAAGCAAUUAGAAGCGCUCUUGCAAUGCCAAAGCUAUGGACCAAGUGGGAUGGGAGAACACUGAGGUGGCUGUUGUUGACUGGUGCGGACUCAAUGGACCAAACGUCCCUUUCUGUCCUGUAGAUCUCUAUGACUGAAUGAAUGUCAUGUUUUUUUCUUAAGCUUUCUCAAAGCUGUAAAUGUUUUAUGAAGUUUGAAGCAAUGACACCUGAUAAUGUAACUAUGGCCAUUUAGACCAUUGUAAUUCUCACAUUAUCAGUUCUGUAUACUGUCGGGAAAUAUAAUCAGCAAAUCUGUGGCACUUCUUAACAGGCAGAAGAAAAAAAUAGACGUGAGAAGAUUAACUUUCAAAAUGAUGUAUGUAAGCUGUCCACAAAUCUCAGCAGUGGUUUUGUUCAAGCUGUUUCUGUUCAAUUGAUCUGAUAAUCAGGUGAAAAAGGAUUAACAAAGUAAAGUUAAUGUUAAUGAA